CGCGUCCCGUUGCCGGGUGCGGCGGUGCCGCCAUGGCCGCGGUCGGAGCCGGGCCGGCACGGGCUGGUGCUUUCGGACAGUGCCGGAACCGGCACUUCCCUCCCCGGACCGGCCUCUCCUGCCUCGGCAGAGCAGCCAGGACACCCCGGGUUAUCCCUCAGCACCGCGGGUCAGCUCUCGGCUGAGGCGCGAUUGUGCUGAGGGGACGGGGGAUGCCCGGGGGUUCGGCCCUGCCUGAGGGGCAGCGGCUGGUGCGUGUCGGAACAGCGCUUGGACUGUGAAUACUGCGGGUUUUGAGACCUUGGAAGUGCUUAGUUAACAAAAAUACAGGGUUUUGACAUGCGCCGGUGUGUUCUCCUCACAGGCUACCUGGAGUUUCUAUCUCUCGUUAAAGGCUUUUGAGAUCCCUGCCCUGUGAAAGCAGCUGUGCCAUGAGUGUGAGAUGUGUGAGGAAACAUCACUCUUUUAAAUCUCAAUCCUGAAGUUUUUGUCACUGCUUCGUGAGGUUUGUUUUAAAAUUGAGUUUCUCCAGCUUUCCUACUAUCAAUGACUUCAAGUCAUUUGCUUUGUAUUCUCUGAUUUAUAAUAGUGCAGAAGUCGCAUGGAUCUUUUUUUUCCCUGUAUUUAGGAAUAAUUUAAUUUGAAUUAAAUCCUACCUAACCCCAUGGGGUUUGGUUACAGGUAUUAUUUUUGUCCUAACUUGCUUUUUAGAUUCAAGACCUUCAGAAGCUUAAAAUGGAAAAAAACAACUUGAAAGGAGAUGCAGAAGCCGUGGAUAUUUGUGACCUCAGAAAAGCAACUGAAAGGACUGAACUUGGGCUGAGAAAACACGCUGAAAAUUAUAUAAAUGUUGUAAAUGGCCAAGAGUUAACUCUUUCUUCAGCUGGUAAUAAAGAAGAAAAUUCCAAAGAGCCCCCUAAGUGGAGUCUCCCUUUUGGUGCCUGUCAGAAGCAGCUGGUCUUGCCACGAGUUGAGCCCGUGACUGUCCAGAGGUGCAGCAAAUCAGCCCCACGUGUGUGCCAGGGCUCUCAGGUCUGAAAUCACACCCUGAUUGU
rnacentral:lncRNA from 1 species